rnacentral:rRNA from 1 species
GCCUACAACCAUACCAUCCUGAACACACCCAAGCUCAUCUGAUCUCAGAAGCUAAAUAGAGUCAGGCCUGGUUAGUCCUUGGAUGGCAGAUGCUAAGGAAUUCCGGGUGCUGUAGGCU